UACGGGGGGGGCAAGCGUUGUUCGGAAUUACUGGGCGUAAAGGGCCAGUAGGCGGCCAACUAAGUCGGAUGUGAAAUCCCCAGGCUCAACUUGGGAACUGCAUCCGAUACUGGAUGGCUUGAAUUCGGGAGAGGGAUGCAGAAUUCCAGGUGUAGCGGUGAAAUGCGUAGAUAUCUGGAGGAAUACCGGUGGCGAAGGCGGCAUCCUGGACCGACAUUGACACUGAACGGCGAAAGCUAGGGGAGCAAACGGG
rnacentral:rRNA from 1 species